UUCCAUUUUAUGUGAUUAUGAAUAUUGCAGCUGUGUAUAAAAUAUUGAGCAGACAAAGAUUUAUAUAGCAGUAUUUUUAUUCACUGACCGUCUUAAUUGCCAAUUGGUUUAUGCAUGACAUGUGAUGUACAAUUGACUGAUGGAUAUUUAUGAAAUUAUGAAGAAAAAACAAAUUUGUGGACAAGAAUCUGAUAUUGAAAGGGAAUAAUUAUGUAUUAAAUAUUCUUUUAUUAUCUCCUUACAACCGUGUCUGCACAAAUUGUGUAGUGUACAUGUGGAAGCAGUCAACGAACACCAAAAUAAGAGUGUUGAAGUUAGUUCCCAUGCAACAAGCUGGACUUCAAAGGUGGCCAUGCACGAGAAGGGUCAGCAAGCAGUCGAGCCUAGCUGUGCAGCAACUGAAGCUUAAAGUUGCUGUUUUGUUUGUUACAUUUAGUUGUUUUUAAUCCUUUUGUAAUGUAGUUCAUUUUGAACUUAGUAGGUAAAUGUUUUGAUGUUGAUUGACUGAAAAAUCAGCAAAGCAACACGUACAAGUUAAUCUUCCAAGUUUCAAUGCAAAUUAGUGGUGUUAGGUAGUUGAUUAGGUGAUAACUUGUUUAUUGUUCAAGUUGACUGAUAUAUGUAAUGGCUUAAUGCCUUAUCUUUGUUGUUAAUGAAAAAUUCAGCUUGAAUCUCAUUAAAAA
rnacentral:lncRNA from 1 species